CCGGCCCGGCCCACGUCCCUGCGAGACUUGACUUUUAUUUUUAGCAGCCUCAGCGCCACUGGCUCUCAAGCUUGCUGGGUGUGGGCCAGCCCCAGGCCACCGUUUCCCUGCCAGCGGGGGUCUCCGGGGACCGGGCUCCACGUUUGGAGCCUCUCAGGGCUGCAGUAGCACUCUGGAGCCACAGGACCAUUGGGUGGAUAAACACAAGCGAGUGAUUUAUGAUCUACGAAGUUUAAUUCCCUUGCACGUAAACUACGAAAAUAAUACCGAGAUACAACCCUUGUCUUAGGGUCUGUGACUGACGGUGCCCGUCCCCGAGCAGCACCGGGUGGCAAUCAACACUCCAAGGUUGGCUUGAUGCUUGACCAGGUGAGGGGAUUGCUCGGCACCCACCGGGGGAGGCCCGAUUCCCACAUCAGUCUCAUUUCCCUGACAGACUCCUACUGUAGAAGCACCGGCCUUCUUUACAGAUGAGGGAGUUCAGGCUGGGAGCUGGAACCCAGGCUCUACUCCACUGGUCUACAAACGGCACGUGCAUCCAAAUCACCCUGAGGGCUUAUUAGAACACGGAGUGCUGGGCCCACACCCAGGUUUUGUGACUCAGUAGUUCUGGGGUGGGGUGGGGUGAUUUGCAUUUAUCACACAUUCCCAGUUGAUGCUGAUGCUUUUGGUGCCGGGACCACACUUUGGGAACCUCUGCCCUCCACAACGAUGCCCCCUCUGGAUCAAUUUUUGGCAUUUAGGCAGACCUUAUGUUCCCCAUAAUGCCACUUCCCGCGGCGAAGAUCUGUGAUGAAUUUACCUAACCCAACACGAUACUACAGGGCUACGUUCCUGACUGUCCACCUGAUGUUCUGUCCCCAGAGGACUGCCCUCCCCGUGCUCCAUUCAGUCCUCGGGAAGUGCUCCCCCUGAACACCAGCAGGGCACAAAUUUCCUACAGUGGGGGUGCGGCCAUCAAGCAAUGAGGGUAAAUGACCCUUCAUGAUGGAUUUGCUCCUAAGU